rnacentral:rRNA from 1 species
UACAGAGGUCCCAAGCGUUGUUCGGAUUCACUGGGCGUAAAGGGUGCGUAGGUGGCGAGGUAAGUCGGAUGUGAAAGCUCGGAGCUCAACUCCGAAAUGGCAUUGGAAACUACCUUGCUAGAGGGUCGGAGGGGGGACUGGAAUUCUUGGUGUAGCAGUGAAAUGCGUAGAUAUCAAGAGGAACACCAGUGGCGAAGGCAGGUCUCUGGGCUGACACUGACGCUCAUGCACGAAAGCGUGGGGAGCAAACAGG